GCGUGUGAUGGAUCACAGUACAGUAUUAAUUAACAAGUAGGUUUCAGGAGAACUGUUAAAGGAAGAGUAUUGUGUGGCUGAAUCACGUUUAAAAGUUAUACACAAAUGGAAGAUGAGUCUUCACCAAAAUAACUGUGGUCAUCGAACUGUUACGUCGCUGCAGGAGCUUCACACCAAAAUCUGCACCGGCUGUCGCCUAUAGCACCCGAUCAUUGGCUGUCAUCAAAAUACCCGAAAAUUCGACACUUCUUGUAACUCUCCAAGAAAAAUCUGUUACAGCGUAAAGUGACGCGCCGGCACGACAGUCGGGAACGAGAGGGCUGUGAAGAAGAAGACGUCAGCCACUGCACGCUGACUCAUCCCUUUCCACGACGACAACGCAACAGCAGCGGCCUCCAAGCGAAGAGAACAUAAGCGCUGCGGCCGACCGGCCAGGUCAAGUUUUACAGUAGCUUCAACUCUAGUCAUUUCGCUUGUACUAUGUAGCAUUGUCCACACUGAAGAAACUUGCUUAUUUUGUCUGUCGGUCUUU